rnacentral:rRNA from 1 species
AAGUGAAACGAGAAGACCACGAGUUAUGAUCCAGAGUACCACGAGACACGUGAAACUUGUGGGAAGCAGGGAGGACCACCUCCCAAGGCUAAAUACUACCUGAUGACCGAUAGUGAAGCAGUACCGUGAGGGAAAGGUGAAAAGAACCCCGGGAGGGGAGUGAAAUAGAACCUGAAACCGUGUGCCUACAACCGCUCAGAGCCCCUUAUGAGGGUGAUGAGGUGCUUUUUGUAGAACGAGCCAACGAGUUACGGUAUGUAGCAAGGUUAAGUACUUAAGGUACGGAGCCGAAGGGAAACCGAGUCUGAAUAGGGCGACUAGUUGCAUGCCGUAGACCCGAAACCGGGUGACCUAUCCAUGGCCAGGUUGAAGCGAGGGUAAAACCUCGUGGAGGACCGAACCACGUUGCUGUUGAAAAAGCAUGGGAUGAGCUGUGGAUAGCGGAGAAAUUCCAAUCGAACCCGGAGAUAGCUGGUUCUCUCCGAAAUAGCUUUAGGGCUAGCGUCGAGUAUGAGUAGUGGAGGUAGAGCACUGAAUGGGCUAGGGGGCAUAGCGCUUACCGAACCUUAUCAAACUCCGAAUGCCACAUACUUUGAGCUCGGCAGUCAGACUACGAAUGAUAAGAUCCGUGGUCAAAAGGGAAACAGCCCAGAUCGUCAGCUAAGGUCCCAAAGUGUAAGUUAAGUGGGAAAGGAUGUGAGAUUUCUAAGACAACUAGGAUGUUGGCUUAGAAGCAGCCAUUCAUUAAAAGAGUGCGUAAUAGCUCACUAGUCGAGAGAUCUUGCGCCGAAAAUGUAACGGGGCUAAACUUACCACCGAAGCUACGGGCUUGAACUUAGUUCAAGCGGUAGGAGAGCGUCGUAACCGGGCUGAAGUCGUACCGUAAGGAGCGGUGGACUGGUUACGAGUGAGAAUGUUGGCAUCAGUAGCGAGAUGUGGGUGAGAAUCCCACAGGCCGAAAACCUAAGGUUUCCUCAGGAAGGUUCGUCCGCUGAGGGUUAGUCGGGACCUAAGCCGAGGCCGAAAGGCGUAGGUGAUGGACAACUGGUUGAUAUUCCAGUACCACUACCAUCGUUAUUAUCGAUGGCGUGACGCAGGAGGAUAGUGUGUGCUAGCUAUUGGAUGCUAGUCUAAGCGUUUAGGCAGUGAGAGUAGGCAAAUCCGCUCUCAUAAUGCUGAGGCGUGAUGGGGAAGGUUCUACGGAACCGAAGUACAUGAUUCCACGCUGCCAAGAAAAGCGUCUAGAGAGAGAAGUAGUGCCCGUACCGCAAACCGACACAGGUAGGUGAGGAGAGAAUCCUAAGGCCGGCGGAAGAAUUACAGUUAAGGAACUCGGCAAAUUGACCCCGUAAGUUCGCGAGAAGGGGUGCCUACGAGAGUAGGCCGCAGAGAAUAGGCCCAAGCAACUGUUUAGCAAAAACACAGGUCUCUGCUAAAGCGUAAGCUGAUGUAUAGGGGCUGACGCCUGCCCGGUGCUGGAAGGUUAAGGGGAACACUUAGCGCAAGCGAAGGUGUGAACUUAAGCCCCAGUAAACGGCGGCCGUAACUAUAACGGUCCUAAGGUAGCGAAAUUCCUUGUCAGGUAAGUUCUGACCCGCACGAAUGGCGUAAUGACUUGGGCACUGUCUCAACUGUAAAUCCGGCGAAGUUGUAGUGCGAGUGAAGAUGCUCGCUACCCGCGAUUGGACGGAAAGACCCCGUAGAGCUUUACUGUAGCUUAGCAUUGAGUUUUGGUAUUGUCUGUACAGGAUAGGUGGGAGACUAGGAAACCAGGGCGUCAGCCUUGGUGGAGUCAACCUUGGGAUACCACCCUGACAGUACUGAAAUUCUAACUGGCGGCCAUGAAUCUGGUCACAGGACAUUGUUAGGUGGGCAGUUUGACUGGGGCGGUCGCCUCCUAAAAAGUAACGGAGGCGCCCAAAGGUUCCCUCAGAACGGUCGGAAAUCGUUCGAAGAGUGCAAAGGCAGAAGGGAGCCUGACUGCGACACCCACAAGUGGAGCAGGGACGAAAGUCGGGCUUAGUGAUCCGGUGGUACCUCGUGGGAGGGCCAUCGCUCAACGGAUAAAAGCUACCUCGGGGAUAACAGGCUGAUCUCCCCCAAGAGUCCACAUCGACGGGGAGGUUUGGCACCUCGAUGUCGGCUCGUCGCAUCCUGGGGCUGAAGUAGGUCCCAAGGGUUGGGCUGUUCGCCCAUUAAAGCGGCACGCGAGCUGGGUUCAGAACGUCGUGAGACAGUUCGGUCCCUAUCCGUCGCGGGCGUAGGAAAUUUGAGAGGAGCUGUCCUUAGUACGAGAGGACCGGGAUGGACUGACCUCUGGUGUACCAGUUGUUCCGCCAGGAGCACAGCUGGGUAGCUAAGUCGGGAAUGGAUAAACGCUGAAAGCAUCUAAGCGUGAAGCCAACCUCAAGAUGAGAUUUCCCAUAGCGUAAGCUAGUAAGAUCCCUUGAAGAACACAAGGUUGAUAGGUCGGGGGUGUAAGCAUGGUAACAUGUUCAGCUGACCGAUACUAAUAGAUCGAGGGCUUGACCAA